rnacentral:lncRNA from 1 species
UCAUUUAGAGGUUUAUUUUGAACAACUGGCAAUUCCAGGAAUGAUGGAAUAAAGCAUACGAAGUAGAAGGACUGGAACCUCCAGAAAAAGUACUUUAAGUUACCUACAGGUGAUCCUAGUCAGGCAAAUGAAAACAGUAGCCUAAAGUGUCAGUUUCAACCAGAAAAUAACAGCUCUGAUUUCUCAUGGCUCAUACUCGUCUGAAACGACUCAGGUAGAGGCUGAGGAAGGCCGUGUUGUUUGUCUACCUGGGACUACACCUACUGAAAGAAGUUCUCAAGUUCUGAUUGAGUUCUAAAAUUUUUUGAAGAUUGGAAUUCUUCAUAUGUAAAAAGAGAAGAGAAAGACAUUCUUGAUUUUGGUGACUAGAGUUGUAGAUGCUGGAAGCUUUGCCACUAACAUUGAUGAACCAGAUGCAUGUCACCAGCCCAUCACGGUGAUUCUUAAUGCCGGCACCAUGGGCCCGGCACUGCCACGUUUUCCAAGGAACCUGCCGGAGCUCCUGCGGAAGCUGCUCCUCAGGCGAUGGAGUCCCUUCGCUGGUAGGCCCUUCUUCAGUCACCACAGGAUGCCUGCCAUUCAUGAACAAGAAGGAGAGGACGGGCUUUGAAUAAAAAACAGGGAAAAGAACUGAAGAACAGUUUGUUGACUGAGGAGCUGAAGUAUUAAGUACAGAGACACAUAUAUAUUUAAAGACCCUGUGGAAAAAAGUUAAUGAACAAAAAAGAAUUGGAAGAAGGACACAGGGAGGUGUGAGCAGCUGACCCCGUCUGACGACUCAGACCUGACUUGCUCAGGAGAGCCAGCCCGAUCCGGUCCACUUUCUUGAGGUCUGACGUCCAAUCCACCUCACUGGGUUCCAACAGAUCUCCACUUUUGGAGGAAGGAUCUUCACUUGAUCUAAGCCUAUUCCUCGGACAGGGCUGGGCUGGCUUGAAUAACUGUGGUGCUCAUCUCAUUGGUGGUAUCACUCUGAGUGUGACAAAAUUUUAAAAAUAAUCAGAUAAACUGAAUACAACAAAUUCAAGUCAUGCUGAUAUAAACUCGGGACAGAAUUUUUAAGGUGGACAAGCAAAGCCUAAAGUCCCUUCCAGCCCUGCAAUACUAUGGGGUCUACACAGAAGUAGAAGACUGCUCUUCUCACUCAUUGGCUUUGCUUCAACAAAUGGUUCGGCUUCUGCCGUGAUGAAGACCAGCUCACUCAAACCUUGGUUCCUAUGAAAGUAACUGAAGAGCUUCCAGAAUACAAUGAUAGUCCCAAAGGGAUCUGAUGUGGCUGAGUAGGGCAACCUCAGAAACACCAUCAGAAACAAUGAAAACCAUACAACAAAUGUGCUCAUCAUAUACUUACAACCAGAUCUCAAGUCUUCAGUCAUCUCAUCACAUUUUGUUUGCUCGUAAAAGAUGUGUGACAGGCAAGGUCCAUG